UACGAAGGGGGCUAGCGUUGUUCGGAAUUACUGGGCGUAAAGCGCGCGUAGGCGGUUUUGCAAGCCAGAGGUGAAAUGCCUGAGCUCAACUUAGGAAUUGCCUUUGGGACUGCGAGGCUUUGAGGACUGGAGAGGUGAGUGGAAUUCCCAGUGUAGAGGUGAAAUUCGUAGAUAUUGGGAAGAACACCGGUGGCGAAGGCGGCAUCCUGGACCAAUUCUGACGCUGAGGAGCGAAAGCCAGGGGAGCAAACGGG
rnacentral:rRNA from 1 species